AUUGAACGCUGGCGGAAUGCUUUACACAUGCAAGUCGAACGGCAGCACGGACUUCGGUCUGGUGGCGAGUGGCGAACGGGUGAGUAAUAUAUCGGAACGUAUCCAAUAAUGGGGGAUAACUAGUCGAAAGAUUGGCUAAUACCGCAUACGCCCUACGGGGGAAAGCAGGGGAUCUUCGGACCUUGCGUUAAUGGAGCGGCCGAUAUCUGAUUAGCUAGUUGGUGGGGUAAAGGCCCACCAAGGCGACGAUCAGUAGCUGGUCUGAGAGGACGACCAGCCACACUGGAACGGAGACACGGUCCAGACUCCUACGGGAGGCAGCAGUGGGGAAUUUUGGACAAUGGGCGCAAGCCUGAUCCAGCCAUUCCGCGUGAGUGAAGAAGGCCUUCGGGUUGUAAAGCUCUUUCGCAAGGGAAGAAAACUUAGCCACUAACAUUGGCUGAGGUUGACGGUACCUUGAUAAGAAGCACCGGCUAACUACGUGCCAGCAGCCGCGGUAACAC
rnacentral:rRNA from 1 species